rnacentral:rRNA from 1 species
UACGUAGGCAGCAAGCGUUGUUCGGAGUUACUGGGCGUAAAGGGUGUGUAGGCGGCUUCGUAAGUUCGGUGUGAAAUCUCCUGGCUUAACUGGGAGGGUGCGCCGAAAACUGCGGAGCUGGAGCGCAGGAGAGGAAAGCAGAAUUCCUGGUGUAGCGGUGAAAUGCGCAGAUAUCAGGAGGAACACCGGUGGCGAAGGCGGUUCUCUGGGCCUUACCUGACGCUGAGGAGCGAAAGCAUGGGGAGCAAACAGG